rnacentral:snRNA from 1 species
CGAUGGAGGGCAAUCUGGUUGUGACAUCUAUCACCCCACUGGAUUGCCAAAGCUGAUUCAGCUGAUCUGGCUGGCUAGGCGGGUAUCCCCUUCCUCCCUCAACCCUCCACGUGUGUCCCUCCCAAAGCUGUAUGCUCAAAGAGGGCGACCUUCCCUGAGAGAGGAGGACCAUUGUUCCGUUAAGGGUAUAAGAGUAGCUGUGCUCCCCUGCUAGAACCUCCAAACCAGCUCUUGAGAGGCACUGCAGUGAGCCCAGUGAGAGAAACAGGGU